ACACGGUCCAGACACCUACCGGGUGGCAGCAGUCGAGAAUNAUUCACAAUGGGGGAAACCCUGAUGGUGCAACGCCGCGUGGAGGAUGAAGGUCUUCGGAUUGUAAACUCCUGUCAUCGGGGAGUAAGACCUGACGGUAAAUAGCCGGCAGGGUUGAUAGUACCCGAAGAGGAAGGGACGGCUAACUUCGUGCCAGCAGCCGCGGUAAUACGAAGGUCSCAAGCGUUGUUCGGAAUCACUGGGCSUAAAGGGAGCGUAGGCGGCGUGGUAAGUCAGAUGUGAAAUCCCGGGGCUCAACCCCGGAACUGCAUCCGAUACUGCCAUGCUUGAGGGUUGGAGAGGUAGCUGGAAUUCUCGGUGUAGCAGUGAAAUGCGUGGAUAUCGAGAGGAACACUCGUGGCGAAGGCGAGCUACUGGACAACAUCUGACGCUGAGGCUCGAAGGCUAGGGGAGCAAAAGGGAUUAGAUACCCCUGUAGUCCUAGCAGUAAACGGUGUGCGCUUGGUGUGAGGGGAUUCGACCCCCCUUGUGCCGGAGCUAACGCGUUAAGCGCACCGCCUGGGAAGUACGGCCGCAAGGCUAAAACUCAAAGAAAUUGACGGGGACCCGCACAAGCGGUGGAGUAUGUGGCUUAAUUGGAUGCAACGCGAAGAACCUUACCAAGGCUUGACAUGGGUUCUAAGCACGUGAAGCUGCCUUCGGGGGACUUCCACAGGUGCUGCAUGGCCGUCGUCAGCUCGUGUCGUGAGAUGUUGGGUUAAGUCCCGCAACGAGCGCAACCCCUGUGAUUAGUUGCCAGCACGUAAUGGUGGGGACUCUAAUCAGACUGCCCAGAUCAACUGGGAGGAAGGUGGGGACGACGUCAGGUCAGUAUGGCCCUUACGCCUUGGGCUGCACACGUACUACAAUGCCCAGCACAAUGAGAACCGAGACCGCGAGGUGGAGGAAAUCUAUAAAACUGGGCCCAGUUCGGAUUGGAGGCUGCAACUCGCCUCCAUGAAGCCGGAAUCGCUAGUAAUGCUGCAUCAGCUACGGCAGCGUGAAUACGUUCCCGGGUCUUGUACACACCGCCCGUCACAUACAUGGAAGCCGGUAGCA
rnacentral:rRNA from 1 species